rnacentral:tRNA from 1 species
GGAGGGAUGGCCGAGCGGUUUAAGGCGGUGGUCUUGAAAACCAUUGGCGGGGAAACCCGUCCGGGGGUUCAAAUCCCUCUCCCUCCG